UUCCUGCUCAAUGAUAUAUUAAAUAGCCGCAGUACACUGACUGUGCAAAGGUAGCAUAAUCAAUUGGCCUAUAAUUGAGGUCUUGUAUGAAUGGAUUUACGGGAAAUUACUGUCUUUUAAGUAAUAAUAAAAAUUAAUUAGUAAGUGUAAAUGCUUACAUAUAAAUAAUAGACGAGAAGACCCUAGAAAUUUUUUAUAAAUAUAUAUUCUAUUAAUUAUUUUGUUGGGGCGACAGAAUAACAAAUAACUUAUUUAAUAGUAUAAAUAGUUUUUCUAAAUAAUUAAUUACUCUAGGGAUAACAGCAUUAUUAAUAUUAGAUUGUGACCUCGAUGUUGGACUAGAGACUUUCUUAUCUAAAAGAUAAUAAAACUGGCUCUGUUCGAGCUUCUUCCUCU
rnacentral:rRNA from 1 species